rnacentral:rRNA from 1 species
GUAGGCUGAAACUCGCCUACAUGAAGCCGGAGUUGCUAGUAAUCGCGAAUCAGCAUGUCGCGGUGAAUACGUUCCCGGGCCUUGUACACACCGCCCGUCACACCAUGAGAGCCGAUAACACCCGAAGUCCGUGAGGUAACCGUAAGGAGCCAGCGGCCGAAGGUGGGAUUGGUGAUUGGGGUGAAGUCGUAACAAGGUAGCCGUAGGAGAACCUGCGGCUGGAUCACCUCCUUUCUAGGGAG